CGAAAAACCGGCGAAGAAGAGCGCCGGCAAGAAAACCAAAGCCUCGAUUCACCGGACUAUUCCGGCACAGGUGACGCGUCGCGUCGUUUCAAAAGACCUGGGGCAUUGGUAAAAAGUUUCAAUUGGUGUUGUCAAUGCCAAAGGAUUCUAGCAGGCUCAAAUGAUCCGUCAAUGCUGGUAAAUGUAAAAGCUAUUACUUUCAGUAA
rnacentral:sRNA from 1 species